UACGGGGGGAGCAAGCGUUGUCCGGAAUCACUGGGCGUAAAGGGCGCGUAGGCGGCCUGAUAAGUAGGGGGUGAAAUCCUGCGGCUUAACCGCAGGGCUGCCUUCUAAACUGUCAGGCUUGAGCACAGUAGAGGCAGGUGGAAUUCCCGGUGUAGCGGUGGAAUGCGUAGAGAUCGGGAAGAACAUCAGUGGCGAAGGCGGCCUGCUGGGCUGUUGCUGACGCUGAGGCGCGACAGCGUGGGGAGCAAACAGGG
rnacentral:rRNA from 1 species